UAAGGGGUAGUCUAAUGGUAAAACAGCGGUCUCCAAAAUCGUUGAUUAAGGUUCGAUUCCUUGCGACUUUGCCA
rnacentral:tRNA from 2 species